ACAACACAAGAGUUAGAUUAAGCUUCCUGAAAAGGUCCCAUCUCAAGAGGAAUGUAAGAAGACUGUAGAUUACAAUCUGGAGGAAAUAAAGAGAAAAGAAGCUGCCAACAACACCCUUUUGGAGGCAAAGCGACGUGAAGAAAGGCCAAGGCAGGAAUUUGGCCAAAAGCUCUUAUGGUGGUUGAUGACAAUGGACGGCUUUAGUAAAUCAUCAUUUUACCAUCAGUUCCGGCCUUUGAAAGGUUGAGAAAAGAAGCUGCCAACAACACCCUUUUGGAGGCAAAGCGACGUGAAGAAAGGCCAAGGCAGGAAUUUGGCCAAAAGGUGGGUGACAAACAGGAGAGGGAGAAGAAAGCUGCAAUAAAACAGUCUCUGACUGACACAUGGGAUGCCCUAAUUAAAAAUAAACAACAGAAGAAUAUGGA